GCCAGGCAUGGUGGUGCAUGCCUGUAGUCCCAGCUAUUCAGGAGGCUGAGGUGGGAGGAUCACUUGAGCCCAGGAGGUCAAGGCUGCAGUGAGCCAUGAUUGUGCCACUGCACUUCGGCCUGGGCAACAGAGCAAGACCCUGUCUCAA
ensembl:misc_RNA Metazoa_SRP Metazoan signal recognition particle RNA